AGUCGAGCGGAAGGCCCUUCGGGGUACUCGAGCGGCGAAUGGGUGAGUAACACGUGAGUAACCUGCCCUAGGCUUUGGGAUAACCCCGGGAAACCGGGGCUAAUACCGGAUAUGACGUCUCACCGCAUGGUGGGGUGUGGAAAGUUUUUUCGGCCUGGGAUGGGCUCGCGGCCUAUCAGCUUGUUGGUGGGGUGAUGGCCUACCAAGGCGACGACGGGUAGCCGGCCUGAGAGGGCGACCGGCCACACUGGGACUGAGACACGGCCCAGACUCCUACGGGAGGCAGCAGUGGGGAAUAUUGCACAAUGGGCGGAAGCCUGAUGCAGCGACGCCGCGUGAGGGAUGACGGCCUUCGGGUUGUAAACCUCUUUCAGCAGGGACGAAGCGUAAGUGACGGUACCUGCAGAAGAAGCGCCGGCCAACUACGUGCCAGCAGCCGCGGUAAGACGUAGGGCGCGAGCGUUGUCCGGAUUUAUUGGGCGUAAAGAGCUCGUAGGCGGCUUGUCGCGUCGACUGUGAAAACCCGCAGCUCAACUGCGGGCCUGCAGCCGAUACGGGCAGGCUAGAGUUCGGUAGGGGAGACUGGAAUUCCUGGUGUAGCGGUGAAAUGCGCAGAUAUCAGGAGGAACACCGGUGGCGAAGGCGGGUCUCUGGGCCGAUACUGACGCUGAGGAGCGAAAGCGUGGGGAGCGAACAGGAUUAGAUACCCUGGUAGUCCACGCUGUAAACGUUGGGCGCUAGGUGUGGGGGGCCUCUCCGGUUCUCUGUGCCGCAGCUAACGCAUUAAGCGCCCCGCCUGGGGAGUACGGCCGCAAGGCUAAAACUCAAAGGAAUUGA
rnacentral:rRNA from 1 species